UCACUCAAAUGACUAAAUACUUAGGUGGUAUCACUACAACAGAAUUAGAUUAUAGGGACACAUGUUUGUGAUACUUUUGAGUAAGUGUCCCAUUUAUGCUAAAACUUAAAAAAAAUAUCUACUAAUGCCUAAAUAUAAAACCCAAUCCAACCAACAAUAAAAAUUACUCUACUCAACCCACCACCCAGUCCAUUUGGCCCGAUUACAAACAGAAAAGAAAAAAAAAAGAAAAAUUAAUUACCAUCUUUUCUUCUCUCUUCACUCAAUCCACUGAAAUUCUAGACAAAGAGCCUUUCCUGUCGUCCUUCUCCACCACGACAGCCAACGAGAUAGAGUUUCGGCGGUUGCUAAAUACUUAAAUAAGUGUUGGUAAAUUAGCAGCACUCUUUUAGAUUAUAGCGACAUUCUUUAAUUGUCACUAUAUACCUAGCGACCCCACAUAUAGCAACACUUUUUAAAAGUAUCGGUAAUUUUAGCUAGC
rnacentral:lncRNA from 1 species